rnacentral:rRNA from 1 species
UACGUAGGGUGCAAGCGUUAAUCGGAAUUACUGGGCGUAAAGCGUGCGCAGGCGGUUUUGUAAGUCUGUCGUGAAAGCCCCGGGCUCAACCUGGGAAUUGCGAUGGAGACUGCAAGGCUUGAAUCUGGCAGAGGGGGGUAGAAUUCCACGUGUAGCAGUGAAAUGCGUAGAGAUGUGGAGGAACACCGAUGGCGAAGGCAGCACC